rnacentral:rRNA from 1 species
GACGAACGCUGGCGGCGUGCUUAACACAUGCAAGUCGAACGAUGAUGCCAGCUUGCUGGUGGAUUAGUGGCGAACGGGUGAGUAACACGUGAGCAACCUGCCCCUGACUUCGGGAUAACCGCGGGAAACCGUGGCUAAUACCGGAUAUGACGCGCUAUCGCAUGGUGGUGUGUGGAAAGAUUUAUCGGUUGGGGAUGGGCUCGCGGCCUAUCAGCUUGUUGGUGGGGUGAUGGCCUACCAAGGCGACGACGGGUAGCCGGCCUGAGAGGGUGACCGGCCACACUGGGACUGAGACACGGCCCAGACUCCUACGGGAGGCAGCAGUGGGGAAUAGUGCACAAUGGGCGCAAGCCUGAUGCAGCGACGCCGCGUGAGGGAUGACGGCCUUCGGGUUGUAAACCUCUUUCAGUAGGGAAGAAGGCCUUCGGGUUGACGGUACCUGCAGAAGAAGCGCCGGCUAACUACGUG